rnacentral:rRNA from 1 species
GGGUCAGUAGGUUGGUCGUGCCACCGGUACGUACUGGUCUCACUGAUUCCUCCUUCCUGAAGAACCGUAAUGCCAUUAAUUUGGUGUUGCGGGGAAACUGGACUGUUACUUUGAAAAAAUUAGAGUGUUUAAAGCAGGCUAACGCUUGAAUACAUUAGCAUGGAAUAAUGAAAUAGGACGAUCGAUCCUAUUUUGUUGGUUUCUAGGAUUGACGUA